rnacentral:misc_RNA from 1 species
AACCAUAGAAACCUGCGGAGUACCUGCGGAAGGAUCAUUACCGAGUUUACAACUCCCAAACCCCUGUGAACACACCAAUUGUUGCCUCGGCGGAUCAGCCCGCUCCCGGUAAAACGGGACGGCCCGCCAGAGGACCCCUAAACUCUGUUUCUAUAUGUAACUUCUGAGUAAAACCAUAAAUAAAUCAAAACUUUCAGCAAUGGAUCU